UUUUCCUGUUUGUGAAGGAUGAUUGACAGCGCCCCGGGAGAUGGCUCACGGCUCCAACAGAGGUGAAGCAACCCCGCCACCAACAAAGUGCCCUCUGUCACCACCGGGAGGGUGUUGUUAGCUACACACACAAACAGAGGUGCGGGGCGGAUGACUGGUCCAGAAAUCAUCCACACAUCUGUGGUGUCCCGGCACCAAUGGCUGUCCUGUGGCUUCGGACUGCUUCGGGCACACAGCAGCUCCAGUGUUGGGCCCGGUGAAGGUCUUCUUGCCACAUUAAUUACGUUUUGCACUUUAUUGUGAAUUAAUAUAUUUUUAUAUGUCUUUCGUUGCUGUUAUGCUUAUGUAUGUUGUGUUACUGUCAGUGUAAACCCCAUGUGACCCUGCCAGCCAAUUAGAACCCCUAAAUACUAGCCCAUAUCGAGUAGUGGAGUUGCCCCAGUUCAGUGCUAGUCAUGUGGAGAGCUCCAUUGUGGUAAAGGUGUAAGGUGAGUGGAGAAGCCACAAGGGAAGGUCCAGAUCGAAUCUACUUUACCUGGUCAUUCUGCAAGGAUCACCGCACGGUGGAAGUUCAUGUCCAGGCGAAGGAGGCUACAAGACUUUGACAGAACCCUAUUUACCAGGAUAAAUCUAUAAGUCUUUCAAGUCAGUAUCACUUCAUUUGGUGAAAGCACCACAAGUCCCAGUGAGGCAGCAGGGCUCCCAGGAGGUUACGCUUCAUCCUCUCCCUCUGCACCAGACUGUAUGUGUAAUACCAUCUGCACCUGCUCAGUAAAGACAGUUAUCCGUAACCUGGCGUCGGUGUGUUCAUUUACUCCCCGUGUCUGGCCCAGAAGAAGCCGUCUCCAACCUCGGACCAUGUAUAGGAUAACUGUGCCCUGGCGUCACAAAGUGAUAAGGAGACUCUCCACAUACCAGGGCACCAGCCGUAAUCCUAUGUUGUUAUUGGAAGCCCGAACAGAACAAAACAUUAUGUUUUACGACCUCUAAGAAAUGCGCAGCCAAAACCAAAAAAUAUUCAACGUUGACCAAAACAUCAUUGGAUUCUGAGCUGUGAUGCCGCACCAGCCCUAGACGGGUGAAGCCGCAGAAUCCUCUCACAUAUACAGAUGACCAAUAUAUUGACCUCAUAUGGAUCCUUCCCUGGAAACAGAUGCCCGGCGCCGUGGCAAAGGCUUUCACUAAAUGGCCUUUCCAGACGCACGAAUUGGCAGCGCCCGCCCGCAGGAAGCUCUGUCGCAAGAUCUCACAUCUCACUGCUGCCACCUGCUGGUUCCAAGCCUGUACAGGAAAAGGUCUGCUGUUAUGAGCUGAGACCCUCCUGGUAGGGAAGAGACAUGGGACACCAUCCGAUGACAUCAGACCCCAGGACCCUCUUUGAUUUUCUGCAGGUGAUGCGAUCACAUGUGCAGGCACUUGGCACGCUCGCAUCACAACAAUGCCGGUUGCUAGUUACGCCAGCAGAGCCCUGACAUCUGGCUUUCACGUGUUGAGACAACAUCUUCUCGGCCAAGUUUUUUUUUUUUUUUUACAAAUGGAAAAGUCAUAAACAUUUGGGAAGGACUAUAUCGCAGAGAUCAGGAGGAUGUAGCCUAUGCGUUGCCUUGGAAAUUCACAGCUUGAAAAUCCCAUAAGUUCCCGCCCAGAAAACAUACAGUUAGUGUAAACCAAAGUUGUUUUUCAAUUCCAGAAAGAGACAAAAAAAAAUAUUUUUUGUAUUUUUUUCUUCAUUAUUAAAGCGUACCUGUCAUA